UACGUAGGGUGCAAGCGUUAAUCGGAAUUACUGGGCGUAAAGCGUGCGCAGGCGGUGAUGUAAGACAGAUGUGAAAUCCCCGGGCUCAACCUGGGAACUGCAUUUGUGACUGCAUCGCUGGAGUGCGGCAGAGGGGGAUGGAACUCCGCGUGUAGCAGUGAAAUGCGUAGAUAUGCGGAGGAACACCGAUGGCGAAGGCAAUCCCCUGGGCCUGCACUGACGCUCAUGCACGAAAGCGUGGGGAGCAAACAGG
rnacentral:rRNA from 1 species